GACGAACGCUGGCGGCGUGCCUAAUACAUGCAAGUAGAACGCAGUUGCGAACGGGUGAGUAACGAGUAGGUAACUGCCUGGUAGCGUGGGAUAACUAUUGGAAACGAUAGCUAAUACCACAUACUACUAGAUGGACCUGCGUUGUAUUAGCUAGUUGGGGGGGUAACGGCUCACCAAGGCAACGAUACAUAGCCGACCUGAGCGGGUGAUCGGCCACGCUGGGACUGAGACACGGCCCAGACUCCUACGGGAGGCAGCAGUAGGGAAUCUUCGGCAAUUGACGGAAGUCUGACCGAGCAACGCCGCGGGAGUGAAGAAGGUUUUCGGAUCGUAAAGCUCUGUUGUAAGUGAAGCGGUAUCUUACCAGAAAGGGACGGCUAACUACGUGCCAGCAGCCGCGGUAAUAC
rnacentral:rRNA from 1 species